rnacentral:rRNA from 1 species
GACGAACGCUGGCGGCGUGCUUAACACAUGCAAGUCGAACGAAAAGAGGGAAAGAGCUUGCUCUUUCCGGAAUUGAGUGGCAAACGGGUGAGUAACACGUAAACAACCUGCCUUCAGGAUGGGGACAACAGACGGAAACGACUGCUAAUACCGAAUAAGUUCCAAGAGCCGCAUGGCCCAUGGAAGAAAAGGUGGCCUCUACCUGUAAGCUAUCGCCUGAAGAGGGGUUUGCGUCUGAUUAGCUGGUUGGAGGGGUAACGGCCCACCAAGGCGACGAUCAGUAGCCGGUCUGAGAGGAGGAACGGCCACACUGGAACUGAGACACGGUCCAGACUCCUACGGGAGGCAGCAGUGGGGAAGCUUCCGCAAUGGGCGACAGCCUGACGGAGCAACGCCGCGUGAGUGAUGACGGCCUUCGGGUUGUAAAACUCUGUGAUCCGGGACGAAAAGGCAGAGUGCGAAGAACAAACUGCAUUGACGGUACCGGAAAAGCAAGCCACGGCUAACUACGUG